GACGAACGCUGGCGGUAUGCUUAACACAUGCAAGUCGAACGAGACGAGAUGGAAGUGCUUGCACGGAAAUCUUAGAAAGUGGCGAACGGGUGAGUAACGCGUGGGUAACCUGCCCUAUGGAAAGGAAUAGCCUCGGGAAACUGGGAGUAAUGCCUUAUAAUAUAGUGAAGUCGCAUGGCUUUGCUAUUAAACGCUCCGGUGCCAUAGGAUGGACCCGCGUCCCAUUAGCUAGUUGUUGAGAUAACAGCCCACCAAGGCGACGAUGGGUAACCGGACUGAGAGGGCGAACGGUCACACUGGAACUGAGACACGGUCCAGACUCCUACGGGAGGCAGCAGUGGGGAAUAUUGCGCAAUGGGGGCAACCCUGACGCAGCAAUACCGCGUGAGUGAAGAAGGUUUUCGGAUCGUAAAGCUCUGUUAUUGGGGAAGAAAAAAAGACGGUACCCAAGAAGAAAGUCCCGGCUAACUACGUGCCAGCAGCCGCCGUAA
rnacentral:rRNA from 1 species